AUUGAACGCUGGCGGCAGGCCUAACACAUGCAAGUCGAGCGGAUGAGGGGAGCUUGCUCCUCGAUUCAGCGGCGGACGGGUGAGUAAUGCCUAGGAAUCUGCCUAGUAGUGGGGGACAACGUUUCGAAAGGAACGCUAAUACCGCAUACGUCCUACGGGAGAAAGUGGAGGAUCUUCGGACCUCACGCUAUUAGAUGAGCCUAGGUCGGAUUAGCUAGUUGGUAGGGUAACGGCCUACCAAGCCGACGAUCCGUAACUGGUCUGAGAGGAUGAUCAGUCACACUGGAACUGAGACACGGUCCAGACUCCUACGGGAGGCAGCAGUGGGGAAUAUUGGACAAUGGGCGAAAGCCUGAUCCAGCCAUGCCGCGUGUGUGAAGAAGGCCCUCGGGUCGUAAAGCACUUUAAGUUGGGAGGAAGGGCUUACAGCGAAUACCUGUGAGUUUUGACGUUACCGACAGAAUAAGCACCGGCUAACUUCGUGCCAGCAGCCGCAGUAA
rnacentral:rRNA from 1 species